CCCUUAGAUGUUCUGGGCCGCACGCGCGCUACACUGAACAGUUCAACAAGUCUUAACCUUGGCCGAUAGGUCUGGGUAAUCUUUGAACGCUGUUCGUGAUUGGGAUAGACCUUUGCAAUUAUGGGUCUUCAACGAGGAAUUCCUAGUAAACGCAAGUCAUCAGCUUGCAUUGAUUACGUCCCUGCCCUUUGUACACACCGCCCGUCGCACCUACCGAUUGAAUGGUCCGGUGAAUAAUUCGGACUGCAGCAGUGCUUGGUCCUCCGGGCUUUGCAGCGGAAAGUUUAGUGAACCUUAUCACUUAGAGGAAGGAGAAGUCGUNACA
rnacentral:rRNA from 1 species